rnacentral:misc_RNA from 1 species
AGACACAUAUGUCAUAUUUGGUGAAGCAAAGAUUGAGGACUUGAGCUCACAGUUGCAGUCUCAAGCUGCAGAGCAGUUUAAGGCUCCUAAUCUAAGCAACGUUAUAUCGAAGCCAGAGCCAUCAACUGUUGCUCAGGAUGACGAGGACGUUGAUGAAACUGGCGUAGAACCAAAGGAUAUUGAGCUGGUGAUGACUCAAGCAGGAGUUUCCAGACCCAAAGCCGUCAAAGCUCUCAAGGCCGCAGAGGGUGAUAUUGUCUCUGCUAUCAUGGAGCUUACAAACUAGGAUUACUUUCCAAAUCUUCUGAGCAGUGCUUUCUUUGGAAGUUUUAAAGAUUUUGAGUUGCUGCUCCUUUUUAUCUGCGCGUCCUGUUUAUCUUACCGUCUUUAUCUGUCGUUGUAUACCAGAUUGGAUUGUUAUGUAAGAGAGAAGGUCUAAACAUUUGAUGUGUCCCUUUCUGUCUCAACUAAAUCUUGUUUCUG